rnacentral:rRNA from 1 species
GACGAACGCUGGCGGCGUGCUUAACACAUGCAAGUCGAACGGAAAGGCCCUGCUUUUGUGGGGUGCUCGAGUGGCGAACGGGUGAGUAACACGUGAGUAACCUGCCCUUGACUUUGGGAUAACUUCAGGAAACUGGGGCUAAUACCGGAUAGGAGCUCCUGCUGCAUGGUGGGGGUUGGAAAGUUUCGGCGGUUGGGGAUGGACUCGCGGCUUAUCAGCUUGUUGGUGGGGUAGUGGCUUACCAAGGCUUUGACGGGUAGCAGGCCUGAGAGGGUGACCGGCCACAUUGGGACUGAGAUACGGCCCAGACUCCUACGGGAGGCAGCAGUGGGGAAUAUUGCACUAUGGGCGGAAGCCUGAUGCAGCAACGCCGCGUGCGGGAUGACGGCCUUCGGGUUGUAAACCGCUUUCGCCUGUGACGAAGCGUGAGUGACGGUAAUGGGUAAAGAAGCACCGGCUAACUACGUG